AUACGGUCAAAUCACGCUGAAAACACCGGUUCUCGUUCGAUCACCGAAGUUAAGCAUCGUAGAGCCAGGUCAGUACUUAGAUGGGGGACCGCUUGGGAACACCUGGUACUGUAAG